CCCUUAGAUGUUCUGGGCCGCACGCGCGCUACACUGAUUCAUGCAACAAGUUUUGUCCUUGGCUGAUAGGCCUGGGUAAUCUUUGAACGUGAAUCGUGAUGGGGAUAGAUGAUUGCAAUUAUUCAUCUUCAACGAGGAAUUCCUAGUAAACGCAAGUCAUCAGCUUGCAUUGAUUACGUCCCUGCCCUUUGUACACACCGCCCGUCGCACCUACCGAUUGAAUGGUCCGGUGAAAUCUUCGGAUCUGAGAGAUGUCUGAUUAAUCUCGGACGCCUUUUGGAAAAGUUGCUUAAACCUUACCAUUUAGAGGAAGGUGAAGUCGUAACA
rnacentral:rRNA from 1 species